rnacentral:rRNA from 1 species
UUCCUAACGAGCUGGGUGAUAGCUGGUUGCCUGUAAAACGAAUUUAAGUUCCCCCUCAGCCCCCUCCCUAAGACAAACCACCAAAUCCCCAUGCAGUGGGCUAAGAGCCAUUUAAAGGGGGUACAGCCCCUUUAAAAAAGGACACAACCUCCACUAGCGGAUAACCUCGCCUCACCCUAACCCUGUGGGCCUUAAAGCAGCCACCCCCAAAGAACGCGUCAAAGCUCCAUAAACCAAAAAUUCUAAAACUGUGUAAAUCCCUAACCCACAACAGGCCAACCUACAACUGUAGGUGAACCAAUGCUAAAACGAGUAACCAGGACACUAAGUCCCCUAAAGCGCCAACCUAUACACCAUUAACAGCACAACCACAAUACCAAGUCCCCGACCAAACAUUGAACUCACCCUGUUAGACCAACCCAGGAGCGCACAUUAGGACGAUUAAAACCCGCAAAAGGAACUCGGCAAACCCAAGACCCGACUGUUUACCAAAAACAUAGCCUUCAGCCAAACAAGUAUUGAAGGUGACGCCUGCCCAGUGACACCAUGUUUAACGGCCGCGGUAUCCUAACCGUGCGAA